AAUAUUGCACAAUGGGCGCAAGCCUGAUGCAGCCAUGCCGCGUGUAUGAAGAAGGCCUUCGGGUUGUAAAGUACUUUCAGCAGUGAGGAAGGCGGGUACGUUAAUAGCGUGCUCGUUUGACGUUAGCUGCAGAAGAAGCACCGGCUAACUCCGUGCCAGCAGCCGCGGUAAUACGGAGGGUGCGAGCGUUAAUCGGAAUUACUGGGCGUAAAGCGCAUGCAGGUGGUUUGUUAAGUCAGAUGUGAAAGCCCGGGGCUCAACCUCGGAAUUGCAUUUGAAACUGGCAGACUAGAGUACUGUAGAGGGGGUAGAAUUUCAGGUGUAGCGGUGAAAUGCGUAGAGAUCUGAAGGAAUACCGGUGGCGAAGGCGGCCCCCUGGACAGAUACUGACACUCAGAUGCGAAAGCGUGGGGAGCAAACAGGAUUAGAUACCCUGGUAG
rnacentral:rRNA from 1 species